GUCGCUGGUGGACGGGUAACCGGCCUGCUCACUGGCGUUCAGCAUGGCCCGGAACAGCGGGUUCGUGCCCGGCCCGCGUUCC
rnacentral:tRNA from 1 species